rnacentral:rRNA from 1 species
ACAUUUUCUUUAGGUACAUUUAAAGAUAAAGUCUGCCCACUGUAUAAAAUAAAGGGCCGCGGUAAUUUGACCGUGCAAAGGUAGCAUAAUCAUUAGUCUCUUAAUUGGGGAAUGGAAUGAAUGGCUAAAUGAUUUUUAGCUUUAAUAUUUUUAUAUUUUGAAGUUUGAUUUUAAAUGAAAAUAUUUAAAUAAAAUAAAAAGACGAUAAGACCCUAUAGAAUUUUAAUUUUUAUUUAUUAAUUAAAUUAAAUUUAAAUUUAAUUGGGGCAAUUUAAUAAUAAAUAAAAAUUCUUAAUUAAUUUUUUUAAGCUAUCUAAAAAUAUUAGUUUUAAAAAAAUUACCUUAGGGAUAACAGCGUUAUUAUUUUUGAGAGUUCAUAUCGACAUAAUAGAUUGCGACCUCGAUGUUGAAUUAAAAUACCUAUAUGGAGCAGAAUUUAUAUAAGGUAGUCUGUUCGACUAAAAGAUUUUUACAUGAUUUGAGU